UUUAUGGAGAGUUUGAUCCUGGCUCAGGACGAACGCUGGCGGCGUGCCUAAUACAUGCAAGUCGAGCGGACUGAUUAAGA
rnacentral:rRNA from 1 species